rnacentral:rRNA from 1 species
UACGUAGGUGGCAAGCGUUGUCCGGAUUUACUGGGCGUAAAGGAUGCGUAGGCGGAUAUUUAAGUCAGAUGUGAAAAUCCCGGGCUCAACUUGGGAACUGCAUUUGAAACUGGGUAUCUAGAGUGCGGGAGAGGAGAGUGGAAUCCCUAGUGUAGCGGUGAAAUGCGUAGAGAUUAGGAAGAACACCAGUGGCGAAGGCGACUCUCUGGACCGUAACUGACGCUGAGGCAUGAAAGCGUGGGGAGCAAACAGG